CGCCGCGGUAAAACCAGCUCUCAAGUGUCGGGAUAAUUAUUGGGCUUAAAGUGUCGUAGCCGGUUUAGUAAGUUCCUGGUAAAAUCGGGUAGCUUAACUAUCUGCAUGCUAGGAAUACUGCUAUACUAGAGGGCGGGAGAGGUCUGAGGUACUACAGGGGUAGGGGUGAAAUCUUAUAAUCCUUGUAGGACCACCAGCGGCGAAGGCGUCAGACUGGAACGCGCCUGACGGUGAGGGACGAAAGCCAGGGGAGCGAACCGGAUUAGAUACCCGGGUAGUCCUGGCCGUAAACGAUGCAUACUAGGUGAUGGUACGGCCAUGAGCCGUAUCAGUGCCAUAGGGAAACCGUUAAGUGUGCCGCCUGGGAAGUACGGUCGCAAGGCUAAAACUUAAAGGAAUUGGCGGGGGAGCACCACAAGGGGUGAAGCCUGCGGUUCAAUUGGACUCAACGCCGGGAAACUUACCAGGGGAGACAGCAGUAUGACGGUCAGGUUGACGACCUUACCCGACGAGCUGAGGGGAGGUGCAUGGCCGUCGCCAGUUCGUGCCGUGAGGUAUCCUGUUAAGUCAGGCAACGAACGAGAUCCGCACCUUUAUUUGCCAACAAGAAGUCACGACUUCGUUGGGAACACUAAAGGGACCGCCGUCGAUAAGACGGAGGAAGGAGCGGGCAAAGGCAGGUCAGUAUGCCCCGAAACCCCUGGGCUACACGCGGGCUGCAAUGGUAUGAACAAUGGGCUGUGACUCCGAAAGGAGAAACCAAUCCCGAAAUCAUAUCUCAGUUGGAAUUGUCGGCUGUAACCCGCCGACAUGAACGUGGAAUCCCUAGUAAUCGUGUGUCAUCAUCGCACGGUGAAUACGUCUCUGCUCCUUGCACACACCGCCCGUCGCUCCAUCCGAGUGUGCUAAAAAUGAGGUCUGGUCAGUCUGGUCAUAUCGAGUUUCUAGUAUGCGAGGAGGGAG
rnacentral:rRNA from 1 species